AUCCCGAUCGUAGGCGCCCCCGUAGGUGGCGUCGCCAGAGCCCUAGCACAUGGUGUUAGGGCCGUGGAAGACGGGAUCAAUUUUGCAACAGGGAAUCUUCCCGGUUGCUCCUU
rfam:Hepatitis C virus strain 105431TF2.TC2 polyprotein gene, complete cds